CUUGACCGAGCCCAGCCAGAGCGGCCCGCCGUCGCCCCGGUCCUGCCCGUACGUGGCCAGCAGUGCCUGUGCCUC
rfam:Micromonospora aurantiaca ATCC 27029, complete genome.